rnacentral:lncRNA from 1 species
GUUUUCUUCGAAGGAGUAACAUGUGGCCACACUGGGAAAGGGAGCCAGGGAGUCCUGUAAGUACUCAGGAUCCUGACAUGAGCUUUAAGUAGAGGGCAAGAGAUAGACACCACUGAGUAGUCCUGAUCAAAGUGUGGUGCCAGCCAUCAUUGUCUGUCUCUGCCCCAAUCUGUCCUGCAAGGUGGUCCGAGAGCUGUUGAAACUGUGGGAAUCUGAGAGACGAGCUCCUCUUCAUGCUGGCGCCAGACUUCAGCCCUUUCCUUCCCACAGCAUGAGAGGCUCCUGGAGAAAUUCCAAAAGUCUUGGGGUCCAUUGUCUCAAGAUUCUGAUAGUCAAAGGGGAGGGGCACUUUGUGUCUUUUUAGUUAGAAUAUUACCACAAUAAGCCACAAGAUGAAGCAGUUGCCCUUUCCCUGACCAUAGAAAGGACUCCCAUGUGCAGAAUAUUGUCUUUCAUCUAUAGUGGCCAUUGAGAAUACCACGCCUUAGAAGCCAGAGAUUGACUGAGUCUUCAAGGAGUCCACAAUCUAAGACAAUGUGUCUUACUGGAAACAUGCCACUGUUCCUUUGAUACAAAUGUCCGGACAUCCCUAGGACACAGGCCUCAGGAGGCUGAAUUAAUAAUGUCAAUAAAAUAUAGAGAAAGAAGAAGAAGAAGAAGAAGAAGAAGAAGAAGAAGAAGAAGAAGAAGAAGAAGAAGAAGAAGAAGAAGAAGAAGCCACCAGAGGGAGUUUAACAUCUUGAAGAUGCUGAACUCUUCUUGGCCAGGGGACCUCAGCUGCCAUAACACAUGUCUCUCUGGAGCCAAGUCCCUCUCACCAAGGUGACUGGACCUGGCUUUGGCAUGUCUGUUCUUACUACGGUGAGGGUGAAGAAGUGGUCAACAGCAGCACCUGCUCCACACAGCAUCUGGAUAGAGGUGGCUGUGACUAUCACAGGAGCUGUUGGAUUUUGUGCUCUCAAGCAGUCAUUUCUCAACACCUAUUCAUGGAAUGGAGUUACUGGAAUACCCUGUGACACUGAACGCUGGCUGGGCCAAUGGCAGGUCAGGGCUGCUCUGGGAACUAAGAGAAGGCCCAGUACCCAUCAUGCAAGCAAGCCAAGGUCUCCCAUCACUUUCCUGGUGAUGCUGGACAGCACAGACUCCUGCAGCAGCCCUUCCUGGAGAAGGUUGGGGUGUGUGAACAGUGGGAAGAGGACCAUAUAGACAUUCAUCUGAAUUACAGCUGCCCACCUCCUUGGCACCAGCCAUGGGCACUGCAUUCCUUAAAGCUCUCAUUAAUUGCACAUGCCGGACAGCAAGCAGCAGUGGGUGGUCUUCAAAGGCAGUUGGCAUUUUUCAGUUUUACAGAAGAUAUCCAGAGCCUCAAAACAUCACUUUAAAAGAGGCGACAAUUCGUUCCCAAUCCACAGGACAGUUCAUUUGGCAGGAAGGGAGAGUAAAACUUGCAGCUCAGCAAAAGCCCCAACAGUUGGACAUGAGCGAGGUUCUUAGAGAGUAUCCAAGACUUAGGCAAACUUCAACAUACCUCCUGCGGAAACAUGAUAAAUAAAGCGAAAGCUGACUGAGGACAAGAGACUAGAUUCCCCACCCCUGCCCUGCAAGCUUUGGUGGUAAUGAGGAUGCGACCCCAUGCAAGUGAGCCACCAGCUGAGAUGACCUCUCCCCAAACCAAGGAAAAUGGACAUUUAGACAAACGGCGUAUCUAGAACCCAAACAGACAUGAAAGGAAGAACUGCUCCGUGAUAUAGUACGUAGUUGAGAUGUGAAGAUACAAAGCAAAGGACACCCUACAAAAAGAGGUGUAUAGGUGCUUUGCCUGAAUGUACAUCUGUGUACCUCUGUGUACCAGGUAUGUGCAGGGGCUGUGAAGGCAAGAAGAAGACAUUGGAACCCCUGGACUGGAACUAUAGACCAUCGUGAGCCACUGUGAGAAUUGAGCUAUCUUCUGGAAGAGCAAUCAGCACACUCAACUGCUGAGCCAUCUCUUCAGCCCUGACAGAAUUCUUAAACCCGAUAAACACUUUUAACGAAGUACCAAGGUAUAAACUCAACACACGAAAAUCAGUGGCUUCCUUAUCUGCCAGUCACAAACUAAGAAAGAAAUCUGAGGUGAAAAAUCACAUAACUAUGUACCUCAUAGCCCUAGGAGCAAUCCAAACCCAGGACCUUCAAAAGAAAAAAAUAUCUAGAAAAAUCUAACUGAGGAGGUGAAAGACCUCUACAGUAAAGCCUUUAAGACACUGAAGAAAGACAUUGAAUAAAACACUAGGAUAAAAAGACUUCCUAUGUUCGUGGGUUAAAAGAAUUGAUAUCGUGAAAACUGCUACACUGUUGAAAGAAAUCUACAGGUCAAAUGCAAGCUGGACCCCAUCUUUCACAAAAUUUGAAAACGAAAACAAUAUCUGAUCUCAAAUUUCACUGUAGGGUCACAGUAACAAAAAGCAGCACACUACU